UACGUAGGGUCCGAGCGUUGUCCGGAAUUAUUGGGCGUAAAGAGCUCGUAGGCGGUUUGUCGCGUCUGCUGUGAAAUCCCGAGGCUCAACCUCGGGUCUGCAGUGGGUACGGGCAGACUGGAGUGCGGUAGGGGGAGAAUGGAAUUCCUGGUGUAGCGGUGGAAUGCGCAGAUAUCAGGAGGAACACCGAUGGCGAAGGCAGUUCUCUGGGCCGUAACUGACGCUGAGACGCGAAAGCGUGGGGAGCAAACAGG
rnacentral:rRNA from 1 species